GGGGAUGCAUAAGGCAUCGACAGACGCUUGAAAACUAUGGUUCAGGUGGAGAUGGGUUCCCUCCUAAAACGCCCAACCGGAUAAGUGCAAACUUAUUCAAAAAAGCGUUCUCGCUUCAGCCAGCAAUGGCAUUGGCGUAAGAACGCUUCCCCGAUCAGCAUCAUUUGCUCUUUAGCGAAUAUGCCGGGGCAUCGGCUGUGCUAACGCCUGUGCGGCGCAUCACCGGUGCUAUAUCAUCAGGAUCGCAAAGAAGGCAUGCUUCCGACCUCUUUGUUAAAAAAGGAGCAUAUCCUAAACUUGUCAACCCAUAGCUGGAUACGUUUGGACAGGAGUUCGAUUCUCCUCAUCUCCACCC
rnacentral:tmRNA from 2 species